rnacentral:rRNA from 1 species
GAUGAACGCUGGCGGCGUGCCUAAUACAUGCAAGUCGAGCGAACGGACGAGAAGCUUGCUUCUCUGAUGUUAGCGGCGGACGGGUGAGUAACACGUGGAUAACCUACCUAUAAGACUGGGAUAACUUCGGAAAACCGGAGCUAAUACCGGAUAAUAUUUUGAACCGCAUGGUUCAAAAGUGAAAGACGGUCUUGCUGUCACUUAUAGAUGGAUCCGCGCUGCAUUAGCUAGUUGGUAAGGUAACGGCUUACCAAGGCAACGAUGCAUAGCCGACCUGAGAGGGUGAUCGGCCACACUGGAACUGAGACACGGUCCAGACUCCUACGGGAGGCAGCAGUAGGGAAUCUUCCGCAAUGGGCGAAAGCCUGACGGGGCAACGCCGCGUGAGUGAUGAAGGUCUUCGGAUCGUAAAACUCUGUUAUUAGGGAAGAACAUAUGUGUAAGUAACUGUGCACAUCUUGACGGUACCUAAUCAGAAAGCCACGGCUAACUACGUG